ACCGUGCACCGCAGCUCCAGGCACCGGCAGCAGCACAUGCACAUGCACCUCCGCCGCCCCGUGCUGUGCAGCAGACGCAUCGCCGCCUCAUCGCCGACGACCGCUGGGCUGCUGGUCCGCCGCCCUGCGACGCUCCCCGUCUCAACAGCAUAGUCGUCGUGCCCUCGCCCUCGACGGCCAUGGAUCCCCUCCACGCCGUCCUGCCGGACACCAGCGCAGUCGCGCCCCUGGCCGCCGCCGGUGCCGACGCGCGCCUGGCUGCGCCCCACACCGCCAGCCUCUCCUCGCCCAGCGCCGCCGCCGUCCUCAUCACCUCCGAUCUGGGCCUACCAGGCUACCCGGCGUGCACCGGCGUACUCACCGG
rnacentral:misc_RNA from 1 species